AGCAGAAACAGUCAUUUUUGGGCAGAAUAGCUUUUUAGUUAAAUAUGCCUACUUUCUGUGACACAGCCAUUAUAUCUUGCAUUGCUUUAAUCUUUACACAAAUUAUUUGCCUCAAUGUUCUUCUUAUAGGUGUUAUAAGCGGAGAUAGGAUAACACAUACCGAAUCAAUAAAAACUGUACUUGAAGGGGAAGACGUCAUUGUGUCCUGUAAUUUCACAACAACCAGCACUACAGCUCCAGAUUUAUUCUGGUAUCAGCAAAAGCCAUAUGGACCUGUCAAAUACAUGGGACUUCAUAUGCAUAACUAUAAAGAUAAUGCAACACUAGAACGUUUCACCUCACAGUAUAAUAUUUCCGAAAAGUCUGUGCAUCUAAUCAUUUCCAAAGCAGAGCUGUCUGACUCGGCAGUUUAUUACUGUGCACUUAGAGACACUGUGAAUGAUAGUGCCUCUAAUGUCAUACAGGAACUGGUAAUGCAUGAUCCAGAAAUGUAA